rnacentral:rRNA from 1 species
CCAUUCCAAAUUUCUGCCCUAUCAACUUUUGACGGUAGGAUCGAGGCCUACCGUGGUGUUGACGGGUAACGGGGAAUUAGGGUUCGAUUCCGGAGAGGGAGCCUGAGAGAUGGCUACCACAUCCAAGGAUGGCAGCAGGCGCGCAAAUUACCCAAUCCUGACACAGGGAGGUAGCGACAAGAAAUACCGAUAGAUAGCACGCUGUGUUAUUUUAUUGGCAUGACUUUUAUUUAAAAGUUGAAAGGAGUAACGAUUGGAGGGCAAGUCUGGUGCCAGCAGCCGCGGUAAUUCCAGCUCCAAUAGCGUACACGAACGUUGUUGCAGUUAAAAAGCUUCCGUAGUA